GACGAACGCUGGCGGCGUGCUUAACACAUGCAAGUGGAGCGACGAACCGGGCUUCGGCCCGGGGCAAAGCCGCGAACGGGUGAGUAACACGUGGGUAACCUGCCCCAAAGACCGGGACAACCCGAGGAAACUCGGGCUAAUACCGGAUGUGUUCACUGUCCACAAGGACAGUGAGGAAAGGAAGCUUCGGCCUCCGCUUUGGGAUGGGCCCGCGGCUCAUUAGCUUGUUGGUGAGGUAACGGCUCACCAAGGCUGCGAUGGGUAGCUGGUCUGAGAGGACGCUCAGCCACACUGGGACUGAGACACGGCCCAGACUCCUACGGGAGGCAGCAGUGGGGAAUCUUGCGCAAUGCGCGACAGCGUGACGCAGCAACGCCGCGUGGGGGAAGAAGGCCUUCGGGUUGUAAACCUCUUUCAGGAGGGGCGAAGCUCCGGCAGCGAAUAGCUGUCCGGAGUGACGGUACCUCCACAAGAAGCCCCGGCUAACUACGUGCCAGCCGCCGCAGUAA
rnacentral:rRNA from 1 species